UACGUAGGUGGCAAGCGUUGUUCGGAAUUAUUGGGCGUAAAGGGCGCGUAGGCGGUCUUGUAAGUCAGCUGUGAAAGCCCGGGGCUCAACCCCGGAGGGUCGGCUGAUACUGCAGGACUGGAGUACGGAAGAGGUAGCUGGAAUUCCCGGUGUAGCGGUGAAAUGCGUAGAUAUCAGGAGGAACACCGGUGGCGAAGGCGGGUCUCUGGGCCGUAACUGACGCUGAGGAGCGAAAGCGUGGGGAGCGAACAGG
rnacentral:rRNA from 1 species